UACGGAGGGUGCAAGCGUUAUUCGGAUUUACUGGGCGUAAAGCGCGCGUAGGCUGUUUAGUAAGUUUGAUGUGAAAGUCCACGACUCAAUCGUGGAAGUGCAUUGGAUACUGCUAGACUAGAGUAUAGGAGAGGGGGACGGAAUUCCUGGUGUAAAGGUAGAAUUUGUAGAUAUCAGGAGGAACAACAGUGGCGAAGGCGGUUCUCUGGACUAUUACUGACGCUGAGGUGCGAAAGUGUGGGGAGCAAAC
rnacentral:rRNA from 1 species